GACGAACGCUGGCGGCGUGCUUAACACAUGCAAGUCGAACGAUGAACCCGGAGCUUGCUCCGGCGGAUUAGUGGCGAAUGGGUGAGUAACACGUGAGUAACCUGCCCUUGACUCUGGGAUAACUGCUAGAAAUGGUAGCUAAUACCGGAUACGACCCUCGGUGGCAUCACCAGGGGGUGGAAAGAAUUUCGGUCAAGGAUGGACUUGCGGCCUAUCAGCUAGUUGGUGAGGUAACGGCACACCAAGGCGACGACGGGUGGCCGGCCGGAGAGGGUGACCGGCAACAAUGGGACUGAGACACGGCCCAGACUCCUACGGGAGGCAGCAGUGGGGAAUAUUGCACAAUGGGCGCAAGCCUGAUGCAGCAACGCCGCGUGAGGGAUGACGGCCUUCGGGUUGUAAACCUCUUUUAGUAGGGAAGAAGCGAAAGUGACGGUACCUGCAGAAAAAGCACCGGCUAACUACGUGCCAGCCGCCGCAGUAA
rnacentral:rRNA from 1 species